rnacentral:rRNA from 1 species
UACGAAGGGGGCUAGCGUUGUUCGGAAUUACUGGGCGUAAAGCGCACGUAGGCGGAAUGUUAAGUCAGGGGUGAAAUCCCGGGGCUCAACCCCGGAACUGCCUUUGAUACUGCAAAUCUCGAGUCCGGAAGAGGUGAGUGGAAUUCCUAGUGUAGAGGUGAAAUUCGUAGAUAUUAGGAAGAACACCAGUGGCGAAGGCGGCUCACUGGUCCGGUACUGACGCUGAGGUGCGAAAGCGUGGGGAGCAAACAGG